CUGCGCACUCCUUUGUUUGGAGACACUCAAUGUUCGGCAGCUGCCGCCUGCAGAGCGGAGUCCCGGAGCCUCACCCCACCUCCAACACCCUCUGUUCUGGGAGCGCGCGCUGCCUACUUUGCUUGCACAGUCAGGAGCUCAUCCUUUGCCCCACCCCAAGACUGUCCCGCGUCUCCCCAACACUUGGAGAGUUGAUCCGGCCAACCAGGUUAAGGUGUGGACUGCACAUUGAAGCCCACAGAAUUAGCUAAGCAGACCAGGAACCCAGUUGGAAAAUUACAAGUGCCCUGGAUCUACAAAGCAGCUUUCUCACAGCAUGGUGGCUGGAUUCCAACGGCAAGUCUCCCAAGAGAACCAGGCGGAAGUUAUGUUGCAUUUUAUUCAUUGGUCUUGGAAGUCACAUAACAUCACUUCACUGUAGUCAAAGUCUGUCCAGAUUCAAGGAGAGGAAACAUGCACCCCUUCUUUUGGUGGAGAGAUGUCAAUAUCACCUUAAAGGAAAAGCAUUAAGUCUUCACAGCAUCUUUACCAGGAACAGAUUCCAUCUCAAGAAACCACUUUCUUUGCUCAUCCAUACAAGCAACUCCUCAUCUGUUAAAAUUUUGUCAUGAGAUUGCAGCAAUUCAGCCUCAUUUACAGGCUCCACUUCAAAUUAUAGUUCUCUUUCUAUUUCCACUACAUCUACAGUUAGUUCCUCCACUGAAGUCUUGAACCUCUCAAAGGCACCUAUGAGGGUUGGAAUCAACUUCUUCCAAACUCAUGUUAAUGUUGAUAUUUUGACCUUAUCUCAUGAAUCACAAAUGUUCUUAUUGGCAUCUAGAAUGGUGACCACUUUCCAAAAGCUUUUCAUUUUCUUUGCUUAGAUCCAUCAAGGAAUCACUAUCUAUGGCAAUUAUAGCCCUGUGUAAUUUAUUUCUUAAAUAAUAAAACUUGAAAGUUGAAAUUAUGCCUUGAUCCAUGGACUGCAUAAUAUUGUAUUAGCAGGAAUGAAAAUACACUAAUCUCAUUGAACAUCUCCAUCAGAUGUCUUGGGUGGUCAGGCACAUUGUCAAUGAGCAGUAAUAUGUUGAAAGGAAUCUUUUCUUUUUCUUUCUUUUCUGAGCAGCAGAUUUCAGCAGUGGGCUUAAAAUAUUGUAAACUGAUAUGCUGUCAUCCAGGCAUUGUUCCAUUUAUAGAGCACAAGCACAUUAGAUUUUGCAUAAUUCAUAUGGGUCCUAAGGUUUUGGGAGUGGUAAAUGAGCAUUGGCUUCAACUUAGUCACCAGCUCCAUUAGCCCUUAAUAAGAGAGUCAUCUUGUCCUUUGAAGCCUUGAAACCAGGCAUUGACUUCUCACUAGCUGUGAAAGUCCUAGGUGACAUCUUUUUCCAAUAGAAGAUUGAAAAUUUAUUGUUUAGUAUAGCUACUGUCAUUAAUUAUCUUAGCUAGAUCUGCUGGAUAACUUGCUGCAGCUUCUACAUUAGGACUUGCCACUUCACCAUGUACUUUUAAGUUAUGGAGCUGUCUGCCUUUUUUUAAACCUUCAUCAGCCAACUUCUGCUAGCUUCAAACUUUUCUUCUGUAGCUUCUUCACUUCUCUCAGCCUUCAUAGAAUUGAAGAGAGUUAGAGCCUUGCUCUGAGUUAGGCGUUGACUUAAGGGAAUGUUGUGCCUGAUCUGUACAGACCAUUAAACAGUUGUCCAUAUCAGCCAUGAGGCUAUUUGCUUUCUUAUCAUUACUCUGUUCACCGGAGUAGCACUUUUAUUUUAAAAUGAGAGACAUGUGACUUCUUUCUUUCACUUGCAGACUUAGAAGUCAUUAUAGGGUUAUUGGUCUAAUUUUAAUAUGAUUGUAUCUCUGGGUAUUGGGAAGCAUUAGAAGAGGGAGAGAAAUGGAGGAAUGGCCGGUAGAUGAAACAGACAGAACACAUACCACAUUUAUCAAUUAAGUUCUCCAUCUUGUAUGGGUUUAGUUUGUGGACCCCAAAACAAUUACAAUAAUAAUAUCAAAGGCCACUAGUCACAGAUCACUAUAAAAAUAUAAUGAAAAAGUUUGAAAUAUUGUGAGAAUUACCAACAUGUGAUACAGAGGCAAUGAAGUGAGCAAACAGUGUUGAAAAAUUGUGCCAAUAGACUUGCCACUAGACUUUAAUUUAUAAAAUUCAGUACCUGUGAAGCACUAUAAAGCAAAGUGUAAUAAGGAGAUAUUCCUGUACUUUGUUUCUGUGGAAGCAUACUUCUUCGCUGUAACAUGAGAGAGGGAAACCAGAUGAUUUCCAAGUUUUUUCCCCAAGUCUAAAAUGUUAUGUUUCAGGAUAUUUUGAUAAUAAAUCAAACAUUUAUCAUAGUAAAAAUUUUUUCCAUCUGGUGAGCAAGUGCAUGGCAUAGAAUCAGUGAGCAUUGCAAAAUGAAUCCAGCUCCAUAUAGGGCCCCACACAUGGGUCAAGAAUGGCCCCACAACCUUGCAGUGCUCAACUUGCAUGACCACAUGUGUUGGUUCUACAGUUAGAUCAGAAGUAAAGAAAAGAAGAUAUGGAAAAUUCCUCUGUAAUAAAAAAUUG